GCGUGGAGCAUGUGGUUUAAUUCGAAGCAACGCGAAGAACCUUACCAGGUCUUGACAUCCCGAUGCUAUUUCUAGAGAUAGAAAGUUACUUCGGUACAUCGGUGACAGGUGGUGCAUGGUUGUCGUCAGCUCGUGUCGUGAGAUGUUGGGUUAAGUCCCGCAACGAGCGCAACCCCUAUUGUUAGUUGCCAUCAUUCAGUUGGGCACUCUAGCGAGACUGCCGGUAAUAAACCGGAGGAAGUGGGGAUGACGUCAAAUCAUCAUGCCCCUUAUGACCUGGGCUACACACGUGCUACAAUGGUUGGUACAACGAGUUGCGAGUCGGUGACGGCGAGCUAAUCUCUUAAAGCCAAUCUCAGUUCGGAUUGUAGGCUGCAACUCGCCUACAUGAAGUCGGAAUCGCUAGUAAUCGCGGAUCAGCACGCCGCGGUGAAUACGUUCCCGGGCCUU
rnacentral:rRNA from 1 species